AUACGGAGGGUGCGAGCGUUAAUCGGAAUUACUGGGCGUAAAGCGUGCGCAGGUGGUUUUGUAAGUCAGAUGUGAAAUCCCCGGGCUUAACCUGGGAACUGCGUUUGAAACUGCAAGGCUAGAGUGUGGCAGAGGGGGGUGGAAUUCCGCGUGUAGCAGUGAAAUGCGUAGAGAUGUGGAGGAACACCGAUGGCGAAGGCAGCCCCCUGGGUCAGCACUGACGCUCAGGCACGAAAGCAUGGGGAGCAAACAGGAUUAGAUACCCGAGUAGUCC
rnacentral:rRNA from 1 species